AGUGGCGGACGGGUGAGUAACACGUAGGUUACCUGCCCAGAAGCGGGGGACAACAUUUGGAAACAGAUGCUAAUACCGCAUAACAACGUUGUUCGCAUGAACAACGCUUAAAAGAUGGCUUCUCGCUAUCACUUCUGGAUGGACCUGCGGUGCAUUAGCUUGUUGGUGGGGUAACGGCCUACCAAGGCGAUGAUGCAUAGCCGAGUUGAGAGACUGAUCGGCCACAAUGGGACUGAGACACGGCCCAUACUCCUACGGGAGGCAGCAGUAGGGAAUCUUCCACAAUGGGCGCAAGCCUGAUGGAGCAACACCGCGUGAGUGAAGAAGGGUUUCGGCUCGUAAAGCUCUGUUGUUAAAGAAGAACACGUAUGAGAGUAACUGUUCAUACGUUGACGGUAUUUAACCAGAAAGUCACGGCUAACUACGUGCCAGCAGCCGCGGUAAUACGUAGGUGGCAAGCGUUAUCCGGAUUUAUUGGGCGUAAAGAGAGUGCAGGCGGUUUUCUAAGUCUGAUGUGAAAGCCUUCGGCUUAACCGGAGAAGUGCAUCGGAAACUGGAUAACUUGAGUGCAGAAGAGGGUAGUGGAACUCCAUGUGUAGCGGUGGAAUGCGUAGAUAUAUGGAAGAACACCAGUGGCGAAGGCGGCUACCUGGUCUGCAACUGACGCUGAGACUCGAAAGCAUGGGUAGCGAACAGGAUUAGA
rnacentral:rRNA from 1 species